rnacentral:rRNA from 1 species
AACGAACGCUGGCGGCAGGCUUAACACAUGCAAGUCGAACGCCCCGCAAGGGGAGUGGCAGACGGGUGAGUAACGCGUGGGAACAUACCUCUCGGUACGGAAUAGCUCAGGGAAACUUGAAUUAAUACCGUAUACGCCGUAUUGGGAAAGAUUUAUCGCCGAGAGAUUGGCCCGCGUUAGAUUAGCUAGUUGGUGGGGUAAUGGCCUACCAAGGCUACGUUCUAUAGCUGAUCUGAGAGGAUGAUCAGCCACGCUGGGACUGAGACACGGCCCAGACUCCUACGGGAGGCAGCAGUGGGGAAUCUUGGACAAUGGGCGCAAGCCUGAUCCAGCCAUGCCGCGUGAAUGACGAAGGCCUUAGGGUUGUAAAGUUCUUUCACCGGGGAAGAUAAUGACGGUACCCGGAGAAGAAGCCCCGGCUAACUUCGUGCCAGCCGCCGCGGUAA